rnacentral:tRNA from 1 species
CCUUGCUUCUCACAUGGUAGUGAAUCUGCCUGCGAUGCAGGAGACCUGGGUUCAACCCCUGAGUUGGGA